ensembl:misc_RNA Y_RNA Y RNA
CACUGGUCCGAAUGUAGUGAGUUAUCAUAAAUGGUUGUACACAGUCUGUUACAGAUUGAAAGCCUCCAUAUAUUUGCCUCCCUUCUCACUACUGCAUUUGACUAGUCUCUU